CUCUUAGGGGGAAAUGAAAUACCAAAAAAUUAAACAGCCCGCUGAUGCAUCUCCUUCUUCUUCUUCUAAAAUCCUCUACCAAAAAGCCCUAAUAAUCCUUUAAGCAGUUCUCUCUCUCUCCCUCUAAAAAAAAGAAACGUAUUGAUCAUCACCAUUUCGCAUCUAAAUCACCUACCGCCUUCUCCUCCAUCUAUAAUGGCCUCACCAUGUUCUCCACCACCACCAUUAACCCUAGCCAUCACAUAUUCUCCCCAAUUUAAACAAAUGGCGCUCAAUCAACUGAAUUGCAAAGAAUAAACACACACUUCACAAAUGAGUUGCUCAUUCUUAGGUGUUUUUCAUGAUCUAAAAUCUUUUCCUUUUCCUCCGAUUGAUGGAUUGACGUUCUGGUGCCCGACGGUAGUACUACCAGUCCUUGUAUAGCAGAAGAUAUUUUUCAAGAUUAUAGCGGUCGUCAUGGCGGGAUAGUUCGUGCUUUAAUUCAUGUGCACAUUUGCUUCUAUUCUUUGAGGUGGAUUUUUCCAACUCAGUUGAUAAUUCCAGGGAUAUUUCUAAAGGUGUCAAUUUGGCUAUGUUGUUCCUGUAGUAAUUGAUGUUUCAGUGCAAUGAUACACUAAGUUAGUCCGAUUGUACUCAACAGUCAUACUCACAAAUGCAACAACAAUGCCAUUUGAAUUCAGAUUCGAUAUCCCAUUUGGUGUAUCUCCCAAGAUUCUGGACCCUGUAUGUCAUCCUAUUCGUUGUUGUGUGUCUGUGCAUGACGUGUGUUGGCCUUCUGCUGGGACUGGGAGGGUAAACAAGGGAUCAAAUUUAUAUAUUAUCAUGAUGCUAAUAUUGCUGACAAGAUAGAGAACCAGGAUCAGUCAAAUAAGAGGUGUAUUCACCUGAUUACAUUAAGUAAUCCUUUAAUAGUGAAAAACUGUUUACCAGUUGAAGUAUCUGUCAUGAUUGAGAGUAGUGGAGUUUCACAUAGCAUGGUGCUUUCAGAGGUCCAUUAUAUGUGACAAUGGAAAAGGUGAUGGAUGCAUUCUCUGGGGCUCGUGAAAUCUGCAUAUUUGUUCUGACCCUAAUAUUGCUUCGAGUGAGAUCAUGGUCAGAGUUAGCCGAUCCCACUCUGAAUCUGAUGUGGCAAGUACCUCAAACUAUAUGUGGUCUAGUCAAUUCUUCCUUGUCCAACCAACUGGUUCAACUACAGUCCUUGACGCCCGAUCAUCAACUAAUUCCUCAUCUAUAAUAUCUGUUGCAUCUAGUGCUAUUUGUGGAAGAACAAGGAUUAUCAAUUUUCAGCCUUGAUAUCUUAUUAGUAAUGCAUGCAGUAAGGACUUUUGUUUUAGGCAGAAAGGGUCUGACUUUAUAUACCAUUUGAAGGUGGGACAACACUCCCAUAUUCAUUGGACAGACAUAACAAGGUACAGUGUUUGUAACUUUUUCUUACCACAGUUCAUUCACAUGCUUAUAUAAUAAUAAGUAGUAGUUACAUGAAACAAGGAAUCACUGGUAUCUACUCGUUUUGAUGAGCCUGGAUGGCAGUGGUCAGGGUGUUUCUUUCCAGAACAUUUAGGUGAUACACAAGUGAAAAUUCGAAACUAUGUUACUGGUGAUAUAAGUGUUAAAAUAGUUCAGAGUUGAUUUGGUCUACGCACGUUUUUAUUUGUUUCCUUAGCUGUUAGUAGAAGUGAAUAAGUCAAGGCCAUGUGGCUUAGUGCCCCUGGUUUUAAGCUAGAAUCAGUUGCUAUUUUCUUGUUAAGUUUUGAUUUAAAUAUUCAGCCAGUGUACGAGGUGAUUGUAUCCCUCAUUUCUUUUCCCAGUUUAUGAAUAAGUAAAGUGUAGCUUUUCUGCCCGUGUGCAUUGCUUUCUUGUCCCAUUUUCUUUAUCUUUUACCCACUGUGAUACUCAAUAUCUUGUCCCAUGUUGUCUUAUUUUCUGCGAAAAGUCACUAAUACCCCUGUCAAGGCCAACAGUAAGUAUGGUUCGUGUAGAGGUUCAAAAUGCUGACGAUGCAAUCAGAGAUGACAAGAUUGUUGGGAAUCCACAUAGAGAUUCUGGGACCAAUUUGAUUCUUUAAUCUGAUGAUGAUACGGGAUUUACGCCUUAUAGGAUUGAUAAUUUCUCAAAUGAGGUUUCUUACUUCCUGCAUAUUCUUGAUUUCUUAAUUUCCCUGUGUUUUGAUUAAUGAUUCAAUUUUGUUGACAUGUUGCAGAGACUACAUAUUUAUCAACAGAAAUGUGAAGCUUUUGAGACUGUUAUACAUUCCUACACACCUUGCCCUUAUGCAUGGGAUGAACCUUCUUACCCACAUCGUCUAACUGUUGAGGUUCUCAGCAUCAUUGAUUCUAGUUAUCAUCUCUUUGAUGAUAUAAAAAUCCCAUGGGUUUCAUAAGGAGUGUUGGAGUUGGCAUCAAAGAUUUCCUCUCAGUUCCAGCCAGAAGCUUUAUGAAGAGUCCAGCAGGACUCAUCACAGGCAUGACACAUGGAAUCACUAGUCUUCUUAGUAAUACAGCAAGACUCAGAGGAAGUUGCUUGCAAAUGUGGAGACUCAAAUCGAGCAAAUCAAAAAUAAUAUUGAUAUGAAAAGAGAUGAAAUGAGAACAAAACUUUUUGAUCAUUUAAGCCCAGAUGAAAAUACUCUCGUUUCGUGUUUUUCUAUAAAAAUUUGUUUUUCUAGUAGUGGGAGAGUUCCUUCAUGGAGGUGCAGUUCUUGAUUGCUGCUUUCACGAUGACACCUCUGGUUUUAGUGCUAGUGCAGAUAACACUGUCACAAGGCUUGUUUUUUACAACGAAAGGGAGGAUCUUUUGGGACACCAUGAUGCCCCUGUUUGCUGUAUCGAGUACUCUUAUGCAACAGGGCAAGUGAUUACAGGGAGUUGGGACAAAACUUUGAAGUGUUGGGACCCACGUGGUAGAGUUUUUGGCAGAUAUACAAGUUGAUGACGAGAACAUUGUUCCAAGAUCUUCAGUGAUUUAUGAUGAUGUCCCUUAAUAGCAAUGUAGUAUUAUGUUAUAUAGUUAGGGAUGAUUAUUUGUAUUUGACAUGUUAGUGCAAUGAAUUAUCUUUCUUAUUUAUAGUAUUUUAUUUUGUAUUUUGUAUGACAUUAACUCUUGUGCAAUGG